CCUUUCCAUAGAAAGGCCGCACACAUCGAGUUGAUCUGAUUGAUGCAUUCCACUGGGAGGAUGAAAGCAGCACACCAGAAAUUGAUAAUCCCCGAGAUCACUGAGCUUAAGAGUUGGAGUCUUCCUGCGAAAGACAGGCCUAGGUAGCGCAUAGGCAAGAAGCCUUGCGGGAUUCCGGAUGAAGCGACGAGGUCUUCAAUCUCCACAUUUGAGAUGCCAGCCGAGAACAAACAUGAUUUCUGAGGACUGAUUGCCAGCCCUGAAAUUAUCUGGAAGUCGGAAAGUACUGAGAUGAUGCCUUGCAAUGAGGGAAGCGAACCGUCGGAGAAGAUCAAGAGGUCAUCUGCAAAACAGAGGUAAGGGCUAAGAGGAUCUCCUUGACGCAACCCUCGAGUACCACGGAAGAAGCCAUGGAGUGAACCAUUAAUUCCAAUAGAGAAAGCCGUCGUCGAGAUACAUUCUUUGAUCCAUUGAAUAAACUGCGAAGGCAGAUCCAAAGAGCUGAGGGUAGCUAUGAUGAAAUCCCAUUUCACAGAGUCAAAUGCCUUGGC